rnacentral:rRNA from 1 species
AAUUGACCUCGGAUCAGGUAGGGAUACCCGCUGAACUUAAGCAUAUCAAUAAGCGGAGGAAAAGAAACCAACAGGGAUUGCCUCAGUAACGGCGAGUGAAGCGGCAACAGCUCAAAUUUGAAAUCUGGCUCCUUCGGGGUCCGAGUUGUAAUUUGUAGAAGAUGUUUCGGGUGAGGCGCCGGUCUAAGUCCCUUGGAACAGGGCGUCAUAGAGGGUGAGAAUCCCGUAUGUGACCGGUGACCGAGUCCAUGUGAAACUCCUUCGACGAGUCGAGUUGUUUGGGAAUGCAGCUCAAAAUGGGUGGUAAAUUUCAUCUAAAGCUAAAUACCGGCCAGAGACCGAUAGCGCACAAGUAGAGUGAUCGAAAGAUGAAAAGCACUUUGGAAAGAGAGUUAAAAAGUACGUGAAAUUGUUGAAAGGGAAGCGCUUGCGACCAGACCUGUACGUGGAUGCUCAGCGGGGGUUCUCCCCCGUGCACUCGUCCACGAUCAGGCCAGCAUCGGUUUCGACGUGCCGGAUAAAGGCCCAAGGAAUGUGGCUCCUCUCGGGGAGUGUUAUAGCCUGGGUGCAAUACGGCCAGUUGGGACCGAGGACCGCGCUUCGGCUAGGAUGCUGGCGUAAUGGUCGUAAGCGACCCGUCUUGAAACACGGACCAAGGAGUCUAACAUUUAUGCGAGUGUUUGGGUGUCAAACCCAUACGCGCAAUGAAAGUGAACGGAGGUGGGAGCCCUUAAGGGUGCACCAUCGACCGAUCCAGAAGUUUACGGAUGGAUUUGAGUAUGAGCAUAACUGUUGGGACCCGAAAGAUGGUGAACUAUGCCUGAAUAGGGUGAAGCCAGAGGAAACUCUGGUGGAGGCUCGCUGCGGUUCUGACGUGCAAAUCGAUCGUCGAAUUUGGGUAUAGGGGUAAGCUUUCCCCGGAACCCUCCCCUUAAGAUAUUAUACUAACGUUUACGCAGGCGAAAGACUAAUCGAACCAUCUAGUAGCUGGUUCCUGCCGAAGUUUCCCUCAGGAUAGCAGUAACGUUUUCAGUUUUAUGAGGUAAAG